rnacentral:tRNA from 1 species
GGUCUGGUGGUCUAGUGGUAUGAUUCUCGCUUAGGGCUCACCCUAUGCUUAAUAUGCGAGAGGUCCCGGGUUCAAUCCCCGGCCAGACCC